GGAGGAGGACGGGGGGCCGCUGCCGCAACGCCCAAGGGCCGCGCGGGAGAGGAAAGUCCGGGCACCGUCGGGCAGGGAGGUGGCUAACGGCCACCGGGGGUGACCCUAGGGAAAGUGCCACAGAAAACACACGGCCCACCCCCGCUUCGCUCCGCCCUACGGGGCGGAGGGCGAGCGGGGCGGCAAAGGUGAAAACGUGGGGUAAGAGCCCACGCGCGACAGCCGGGAAACCGGCGGCGAGGUAAACCCCUCCUGGUGCAAGCUCGAAUAGAGACGCCGUCGAGGGCGGCCCGUCCGAAGGCGCGGCCCACGGGUGCGCGCCCGGCGUCAGGGUCGGAGCGCUCGAGCCCAGGGGCGACCCUGGGCCUAGACGAAUGGUCCCCACCGGCCGCUUUUCGCGGGCGGUACAGAACCCGGCUUACAGUCCACUGACGGCC
rnacentral:RNase_P_RNA from 1 species